CUCAGACGACAUCACAGAGGAACAGAGGACCUCUCUGGGUGACACUGAGGCCCACUGGGGCAAGCAGUGGUUACUGUUGGGGAGUGGGUGCUUCCUAGAGUUUUCCAAGGGACCCAUGGGGUCUGGCAGGGGGCCAGCAUUUCGUUGUGCAUGAACAGGCAACAGAGGCAAGUUCUAUCUCUGCAGUUUGGAGGUGUGUCAAGGCAGGGAAACUCAUUUCCAUUAGCAGCAGUUGGGUAUGCGCUGAGAUGCAGCGUAUGGAUGACCCAGAGGCCCCAGCAGUGGAAGUUGCCUCCCACCAUUACCAUCACUCCAGGCACCUCUGGGGAGCGUUCCCUCUGCUCCGAUACCUGUUCAGGGCUGCAGCCCUGCUCCUCCCCAGCUCUGGGAUCCUCUGCCAUUGGCUUCUCAACUGCUCUCAUUUCAAAUAAAAAUAAAUAAUAAUCA